rnacentral:rRNA from 1 species
GGUGAACGCUGGCGGCGUGCUUAAGACAUGCAAGUCGAACGGGGUCUUCGGACCCAGUGGCGCACGGGUGAGUAACGCGUAACUGACCUACCUCAAAGUCGUGGAUAACUGGGCGAAAGUUCAGCUAAUACAUGAUGUGAUGCAUCAUCAUGAUGAUGCAUUAAAGAUUUAUCGCUUUGAGAUGGGGUUGCGUUCCAUCAGCUAGUUGGUGGGGUAAAGGCCUACCAAGGCGACGACGGAUAGCCGGCCUGAGAGGGUGGCCGGCCACAGGGGCACUGAGACACGGGCCCCACUCCUACGGGACGCAGCAGUUAGGAAUAUUCGGCAAUGGGCGAAAGCCUGACCGAGCGACGCCGCGUGAGGGAUGAAGGUCUUCGGAUUGUAAACCUCUGAACAAGGGACGAAAGAGCUUUAUGCAGAUGACGGUACCUUGGUAAUAGCACCGGCUAACUCCGUGCCAGCCGCCGCAGUAA